rnacentral:lncRNA from 1 species
CACUCAGACAAUGCCCAGACCUCCAGAAACCAUGUGUCAAGCUCGGAUUGCCUUAGACAGCUCACCCAGCUGGAACUCUUAUGGGACCUUGGCACCAGAGACCACAAAUUCCUCUUUGAAGUUUUCUAACAGCAACAAUGGUAUUUCUGACUUGGCUUUCUUGUAUUUCUCUCACGUUAACAAAAUUGGUUCAGCAUCUACCAUGGGCUACAUGCUGAGCUACAGAGUUUCGCUCUGUCGCCCAGGCUGGAGUGCAGUGGCGCGCGAUCUCGGUUCACUGCAAGCUCCACCUCCCGGGU